CAGCUACUCCCUCCGUUCCAAAUUACUUGUCGGAGAAAUGAAUAUAUCUAGAAUUAAAAUACAUCUAGAUACAUCAAUUUCUUGACGAGUAAUUCGGAACGGAGAGAGUAUAAG
rfam:Triticum urartu cultivar G1812 contig1076224, whole genome shotgun sequence.